rnacentral:tRNA from 1 species
CCUGGUGGCUCAGUGGUAAAGAAUCUGCCUGCAAAGCAGGAGACACAGGUUUGAUCCCUGAGUCAGGA